GACGGAAGGUGCAAGCGUUGCUCGGAAUUACUGGGCGUAAAGCGUGCGCAGGCGGUUUUGUAAGUCUGUCGUGAAAUCCCCGGGCUCAACCUGGGAAUUGCGAUGGAGACUGCAAGGCUAGAGUUUGGCAGAGGGGGGUAGAAUUCCACGUGUAGCAGUGAAAUGCGUAGAGAUGUGGAGGAACACCGAUGGCGAAGGCAGCCCCCUGGGUCAAAACUGACGCUCAUGCACGAAAGCGUGGGGAGCAAACAGG
rnacentral:rRNA from 1 species